ensembl:snoRNA SNORA77B small nucleolar RNA, H/ACA box 77B
GCAGGCUCACUCUGUUUCUUGCUGUUUUUUUACUCCAGCUUGAAACUUUUUCUGUCUGCUACAUUAACAUGCAGAAUUUAUCACAGGUGUUUUCCUUUUUUCAAAGGAAAGCGUUGGGAUGUUCUGCUAUAAUUGA